rnacentral:rRNA from 1 species
AAUCAACGCUGGCGGCGUGCCUAACACAUGCAAGUCGAACGCGAAAGCCCCGCAAGGGGUAAGUAGAGUGGCAAACGGGUGAGUAACACGUGGGUGACCUGCCUUCGAGUGGGGAUAACGUCCCGAAAGGGACGCUAAUACCGCAUGACAUCCUGCUUUUGAAAAAGCGGAGAUCAAAGCUGGGGAUCGCAAGACCUAGCGCUUGAAGAGGGGCCCGCGCCUGAUUAGCUAGUUGGUGAGGUAACGGCUCACCAAGGCGACGAUCAGUAUCCGGCCUGAGAGGGCGGACGGACACACUGGGACUGAGACACGGCCCAGACUCCUACGGGAGGCAGCAGUGGGGAAUUGUUCGCAAUGGGCGCAAGCCUGACGACGCAACGCCGCGUGGAGGACGAAGAUCUUCGGGUCGUAAACUCCUGUCGAGCGGGACGAACGCUUCGCGGAUGAAUAAUCCGCGGAAUUGACGGUACCGCUAAAGGAAGCCCCGGCUAACUCCGUG